rnacentral:piRNA from 10 species
CCCGGCUAGCUCAGUCGGUAGAGCAUGAGA